GGAUUAGAUACCCUGGUAGUCCACGCCGUAAACGAUGUGUGCUAGCCGUUGGGAAACCUAGUUUUUCAGUGGCGCCGCUAACGCUUUAAGCACACCGCCUGGGGAGUACGGCCGCAAGGUUAAAACUCAAAGGAAUUGACGGGGACCCGCACAAGUGGUGGAGCAUGUGGUUUAAUUCGAGACAACGCGAAGAACCUUACCAGGGCUUGACAUGCCCGUCGCGGUUAGCAGAGAUGCUUUCCUUCAGCUAGGCUGGACGGUGCACAGGUGCUGCACGGCUGUCGUCAGCUCGUGCUG
rnacentral:rRNA from 1 species